GUGCCAGCAGCCGCGGUAAUACGUAGGGUGCGAGCGUUGCCCGGAUUUAUUGGGCGUAAAGGGCGCGUAGGCGGCUCGGCACGUCCGUUGUGAAAUCGCCCGGCUCAACUGGGCGGGGUCAGCGGAUACGGUCGAGCUUGAGCAAGCUAGGGGGUAAUGGAAUUCCCGGUGUAGUGGUGAAAUGCGUAGGUAUCGGGAGGAACACCAGUGGCGAAGGCGGUUGCCUGGAGCUUUGCUGGCGCUGAGGCGCGAAAGCGUGGGGAGCGAUCCGGAUUAGAAACCCGCGUAGUCC
rnacentral:rRNA from 1 species